UUGGAGCGCAUCCCGAAAGGCGUGAAACGGUUUUCGGAGCACGAUGCGCGUAAAAA
rnacentral:misc_RNA from 1 species